rnacentral:rRNA from 1 species
UACGUAGGGUGCAAGCGUUGUCCGGAAUUAUUGGGCGUAAAGAGCUCGUAGGCGGUCUGUUGCGUCGGCUGUGAAAACCCGGGGCUCAACUCCGGGCCUGCAGCCGAUACGGGCAGACUAGAGUUCGGCAGGGGAGACUGGAAUUCCUGGUGUAGCGGUGAAAUGCGCAGAUAUCAGGAGGAACACCGGUGGCGAAGGCGGCUCUCUGGACCGAUACUGACGCUGAGGCGCGAAAGCGUGGGGAGCGAACAGG